rnacentral:rRNA from 1 species
CCUGGCGGCACUAGCGCGGUGGUCCCACCUGACCCCAUGCCGAACUCAGAAGUGAAACGCCGUAGCGCCGAUGGUAGUGUGGGGUCUCCCCAUGCGAGAGUAGGGA